rnacentral:misc_RNA from 1 species
GACGCGCUGGCGCUCUAAUACACUACGAUAGAGAAAAAUGCUUCUUCUGCAAGGUUCGAACCCUGAACGAAUCCCUCCCUGGCUUUGAAACGGCAUCCUUUGGGCUAAAAAUGAACGCCGCUGCAUCCGAGCUGCGAAAAGGGGACGCAACUCAGCAAACCGCUGAUUAAUAAUGACAACAGGCUUUGAUUUUGUUAGGGGUAGCGUUGGUAUAUCUUCUCGGCUAUUUAGCUAAGAUCAUGUUUAUAAACUGUUCUUAUCAGAGUAACUCCUGAUACUGCCUUCGGGCAAAGGAAUAGAAAUUAUAACCCAAGGUUGUUUCCCUGGAGUUCCACGUUUCCAGGGGAGCAACUCUUU